rnacentral:lncRNA from 1 species
UAUGAAAAUUUAUAUUAGUUAUUAUUGAAAUUAAUAUACCAUUAUGCAAGAUGAUCAAGAAUGAUAGAUUGUCUAUACAUCUUAAAAGAAUUCACAAUUUGAGACACAGAGCCAUACAAAAAAGUAGGAUCAGUGAUUCAGUUUACAAGAAUAAUCAAGUUUUUGUACAUGUUUUCAUGCGUGCAUUUAUGGGUUACCAGUCAUUCGGUGGAGUAAAUGAUGACGAUUCAACGGGCCCAAUCUUCUUUCGCCGGUCCUUGUCUUUGUUGUCUCGCACGAAGUUAGCAAUUAAUAACGUAACCUGUCAAAAGAUUAAUUUUGGUCUUCUUCUUUUAUCUCCACCCCUCUUAUCUUUAUGGUCCUUAUCUUGAAGCGUUCAAGCUUAUGNNNGUUAGUCUUGUAGGAAGCUUUACAGCCAUUGACAACUCCGAAAUGCUUUUAGUUUCUUUCUCUUCUUCCUUUUCCUCUUCAACGUCUAUUGCCAUUGGAGGCGCCACUGAAAACCAAUGCUCAGGCAUAUAGUAGGGGUGGGCAACGUUGUUGUGCUGAGGAGAAUGAACUAGGGUUUGGCUUUUGGCCUGUGGGGAGAAACAAUUAUCAAAACUCAUGUUGUAACGUCGCAUAGGUGAUAUUGGAGGAUGAAAAUAAGGUGAAGAAGGCUUUGAAUCAAGAUUAAUCUUGAGCGACAUGUUUGUAGCUUCAAUAAGAGAGAAAUUAAUAAGAGUAUAUAUGAUGAUUAUAUGUUGGUUUUAGAGGCGUAUAUAUAUUGAGCAACUCUUGUACAAAAAUGGAAGGUAAGACAGGAAAUGAUUU